GAGAGGGAGGGAGGAACCAAGACGUUGUAGCAGGCGUCUUCUUGCAAUCAGGAAGACGGGAAGUCUUAGAUGGAGAAGACGUGAAACACCAUCCGUUGCUGCGAGCUCUGGAGAGCGCAGGAGAAUCAAGAAGACGUGAAUUCCAGAACAAGAAGACGGUGGAUGGAGGGCCGUUGUCCUUUGGAGCUUCGUCACCCAGGCCGACGCCCCUUGGAAAGAACCCCACAUUCCAGGUUAGGCUGGAAAUUUCUUUUUGAUUGCUACUACUUCAUAUUUCUUUGUUUACCAGGGCACGUUAUCCAAUUUCAUUCCGGUGAGCAUGCGGGGACAGACGCAGAAAGUUGUAUUGUACAUUUUGAUUGCUUCUAUCAUGAUGCUUGGUUACCAAAAUUCAUGGUUCCCUGACUGAUUCAAUAGCUAUUACCAGACAAAUUAAUGAUUUCAGACUCGUGUCAGCUUAUGACUUCUUAAACUCCAAUAAGAACAACAUCAUGCAUGCGACCUACUAUUGCAAUGUUGUUUGUUCCACCUGCAAUUAAUUUGGUGAGCACACCCUUAGAAGUGAAUCAGAAUCAUUCAAAAUUUUCUUCUUAGGUUGUAUUACCGUCUUCUUUUUCAUACCAAUGUUUCUUAUUUAUAUCAGAAUUCUUAGAGCUUUUGAGCAGGCAGAUGGGCUAUGACAUCCAGUUUGAUUCUUGGCUAAGGCAUUGUAGAGUUGCGGAUUCCAUUGAUUCUCUUGCUGCCUGCCACCCUUCCUCCUAAUGAAUGGCUAACCACUAGAGCCCAAAAGGCUUAAACUUUUACGGAAGGGGUCGGGUCUUAAACACCUCUUCUCGUGUACCGCUCGGACCAUGCACCUGAAGGCAUAAGUUAGUGAAGAAUGACUCAAGAUAACAAGUCAACAAAGAUUCAAGCUAACCAUCCAGAAAGAGCCAAGGAAAGGAAAGACUCCAGAUAACGAACUAGUGAUCGAUAUAAAGAAAAAACUUGUUUAUUCUUGCUUGUGUGUUCUAAAUGGUCAUAUAGCCUUCUUGAAAUCCCGGCUCAGCUAAUUGGUCAUACGGACUCGUGCUUUGUAAACUUUCUUUAGAUAUUUAGUGAUUUUUCUUCAGAUUUUCAAUACA